ACACUGUAAACUUAUGGGGUGCUGUGAAAUGUGAAGGUGGAGAAAAAGGAAAAAUAACAGUAGGCAACUACGAAGUGGGAAGAGAAUCCACAGGUCCACAACUUCAAUGUUCUUGUUAAGAUAGAAUUUACUCUUUUCACAUUUACGGUAUGACUCUUCAUCCACAAAAGUUAGGAAGCUCUACAUUGUCUUUACUAUAUGUUUUAAAAUAUUGAUCUGGAUUAGCAUCCGAAUGCAUUCUUUGAUGCAUAUAAUUGUGUCAUAAAUAAAACAUCUAGUUGAGUAGAUAGUGAUAGUUCAGGUGGGAAGGGAACAACUAAUCAGCGUCGAGGUGUAUUUUAAUACAUUUAGGGUGAUAGUUCAGGUAGGAAAAGGGAACAAUUGAUAAUUUGGGUGUGAAACUCGUGAAAAAGUGUUAGUUCAGGCGCUAUUGACUCUAAAAUUUAUUAAACCACUAAAACAACAGUAUAUUUAAACUAAUAACAUAAUACAAUACAAUACAAUACCAUAGGUAACAAUCAUCCAACUAGCUAUUUAGAGGAAAGUUCGCCAAACAUUACUAACUUUGGAAUGGAAUGAACCAUCAAUAAAUCUUUUGCCCUAAAUAAAGUCUAGCAAUGACAAGAAAUAGGAAUUUUCCAGAAAAGAGUUUUUAUAAGAUCUAUUUAGUAUAGAAUCGGUCUCCUUUUAUCUUAACUGCUUUACUCAAGUUUCUUACCUCUAAUUCACUUUCCCUGUAUUCACAUAUUAAGAGUUUAAAGAUUCAGGAUCAAUAUUUUCUCCAACUCAAAAUUGGAUGCCUUUAUAAAAUAUAGGAACACAAUUAUGAAUAGUUUUGUUAGUUUUCAUUAAAUAUUCCCUUAAGUUAGUUAAAAGUUCUAAUGCAACUAAAUUUGCAGGGAAAAGUCAUUUUAGGGAAUUGAAAUAACUUAAAUAUCUUUUAAAAAAUAAUAAUUUAAUUUUGCUUCUCAAUUUACUAAGAAAUGAAAUUAAUUUAUACCAAGUAUGGAAUUUUAUUUAACAGAAGUAAUGACAGACCUUAAAACUUAAAGAUGCGUUCUUUUUCUUAAUGCUUCAUUGUACUUUGCUUUGUAACCCAAGGAUUAGAAAGGUUUUUAAUCAGUGUUAUUAUUCAAUAGACUUCUUUAGGAUUCUUUUAAUGUCAACUUUAAGCUUGAUUCUGUAACAGAGUACAUUUUACUGAAACCUGGAACUUCUGUGAAGUAGACUGCAUUAAGAAAUAGCGAAGUAAAUCAAGGAAUUUCUUCAAAGAAGAGUAGUGGAAGAAAAAAGUAGGGUAGUCGCUUUUAAUUUUAGUGACAACGAGUUGCGGCCCUUCAAUUUUAUUAUGACGAAUUAUGAAGAUCGAAAGCAAGUUUGGAGCGAACUAGUAGAAGAAUCACUGAAGUAGGUUUAGUUUAAAUUGCAAAAGAUAAUUAAUGUUCAUUAUAUUUAUGAACUUGAAACUUUUUGAAAUUUUAAUUUUAUAAUGGAACACAUCUUUUAUAUAUUACUAGUAUAUUGUUUUAAGAAGAUCACUUCUCAUUGAUGCAUGAUAAAUGUGUUCCCAAAAACUAGUAAUUUUAUAAGCAUAUAGGAAUCACAAGAAUUGCUCCAUGGUGGAUUGGUUGGCAUUUAUGAACUGUGAAAAAGUGCUAAGGCUCAGCAAAUGGCAGAGCAGAAAUAGAUAGCUAAAGUUCCCUUGGAAUCUGAGGGACCUAAAACUGGAAAGGCUUAGCUGUGCUCAGGUGACUUACGCGGAACCUACACUUUUCACUUUUUCUCUGGACUCUACCUCCACAAAAGUAGAAAGUGCUACAUUUGUUUAUAAACUAUAUGCUUUUUUAAAUGCUGAUUUAGAUUAGCCUCCAGGUCCUUUAAUAGUCAACUGAUACUUUUAAAAUGAGACAUUUUUAUUGAAGUCCUGAAAAGUAAUUUGACAUGAUUUAAAAGGAAGUAUAAGAUAGUAGAGCACCUUGAAUAUCCUGUUGUCUGGAUCAGGAAUAUCUCAAACAAUCUCACUUGUUUGUCCUUUAUUCUGGCACGAAUAAUAUUGGCCGUGACACAUUGAUGCUCAUUCUUUUCCUUUGCUAGUGAGUUGUGAGGUGCAUAAAAGUUCUUCUUCCCAACGAAUAGCAGUGCAGAAUAGGAUAUUAAAAGUACUCAAUGAUCAAAAAGGACCUAAAAGUGGACAUCCAAGCCAUGUUGGAUGAAUUUUCUUAGCCACAAAGUUCUUACCUACACUUCCAUUUUAUUCCUUGAUAUGCAGGACAAUUACUUCACAUCAGAAAAGGUAAAAGUGCAAUAUGCUUUCCUUCUGCGUCUUGUAUAGGCAGUUGCACACUUUGAUUCCCCAGUACAGCUUAAAACUGAUAAAUGGACAUUGUGUUUUGAUCACUCAUACUGUUGGGGCCAUGGAAUACCUACUCAUUUUAUGUCUCAUGGUUUACUGUGACUGGAAAUCCGAUGAACUGGAUCACAUGGAUUGCUAAGAGAUAGAAGAUUGUCAAUUUAUGUAACCGUGACCGAACUUGUUGGAUUAUGUAUCAAUUUGUUAAAAGAGCGAAUGCGGCAUGCAUAAACCUCAAAGCUAGAUGCGUCGCAGGUUAGGUUCUUUGCAUUGUUUAGGCAGUGCUUAAGUGUAAGUCUGUGCCUAGAAAGAUGCAGCCAACUAAUUGCUUCUUAAUAAGUUUAAGUAAUAAUUUAUAAUGCCUGUAAGUUUUGUUAUGAAGAGGGCAAUAAUAAAAUAAUAAUUAAAAAACAACAAAAACCAAUGUAAUUCCACAAGUGGGGUCUAGGGUGGUAAGAUAUAUGCUAUCUUACCCCUAACUUUAUGGGGUGGAGAAGCUGUUUCCGUAUACCUUCGGCAAUCCUCCUCUCUUUAUUUGGGUUUAGGACUAAUAAUUUGAACAAGCUCACAUUGACAAAGUCAAAGAACAAAUAAUUAUAAAGCAAGUUAUUUAUCACUUGUUAAAAAAGCGUUAUGGAAAAAAAUGUUAAUGAUUAAAACAGGUAGGUAGAAACUUAGUGAACAAAAUUAGUCAAGGACAAUUAGUCAAUAAAAUUGAAUUAGAAACUUUAAUUUGCAUCUUUGCAGCGGAUUUUGAUAUUUAUGUUUCACUUGUAAUUUUUUUCUCAGUUCAUUUGUCCAUAUAAUGGCUUGUUUGUGGUUAUUUUUAUUUCUUCAUCUUCAUAUUCGUCUUCCUUCACUGACAUGCGCUUUUUAAUCGUUCUUUGCACUUAAAACCGACCAUACCCUGGGGUGCUCUUCUUCCCUUUUGCUUUUGGCAACACGAUUCUGAUUCUGUUGUGGGAACUAGAGUUCACAGUCCAGCAUCCAGUAAUGUUCAUACUGCCAUGUUUUUUUUGGUCAAUUAACAUUAAUGAAAUGGAUGAAAGAAAGAACCUUUAGAUCCCAAGAUAGGAUGAUCACUUUAGUAGUCAAUUGAAUUGAUGCACUUUUCACUUUUAAGUUUCAGUAAAGGUGAAGAGAAAAAAACCUAUGUCCUUGCUGAUUACAGAAUAAAAACUGUAUUUUUAGCUGUUUUAAGGGGGUAUCAUGUAACUUGAUUCUUCACUACAACUAAACUUUUGCUGACCAUUGCAGUAUUUUACUUACAUGGUUGCUUAUGAACUACCAUUUUUAGGAAAAAGUAUUGCAUCGGUGCUUUCCUAUCCUUUGAGAGUGGACAUUUUAUUCUUUAUCUUCAGUGAUGGGUCGUUCGUUGUGCUGAAAGAGAAUCUGGGACAAAUACUAGAUGAGAGAGAGAGAGACCCUGGACCAAAGGAGUAUGUUCCAACAGAAGGAUGACCACAGUGGAAAGCAGAAAGCAGAAUUGAGCUUCAAUUAUAUUGCACCAGCUCACUAUGUCAUAUACAGCCACUGAGCAUCCAGAGGUCGUUGGAUGAUUCAGUAACAACCAUGAAGCUGCUUCAUCUUCAUCUUCUUCAUCUAUAAUCGUAUCAUCUGCAUCUUGUGUCAAACUCAAGAACCCAUCAUCCUCCGUUCCUUCCCCUGUGGACCCACUAAUCAUCAUAGAAUCACCGCCAACAGUUUCAACAGCUGGAGGACCGUAAAGGGUUCCUGGAGAUUGGAAUCAGAGCCGAGUUUAGAAUUUAAGUUUGAUGAGUUCAAUUUUAUGUUUUUUAUUAUUAACACAUUACACUUUUGAUAUUAUGGUUUACAAGCCAUAUAUAUUGAAAUUUUUGUUAUUUUUCUCAUGUAGGAGUAUAUAUGGUCUUUGUGAAGAAAAUGGUGGCUACCUGGAAUGGGAAUAAUUGGGAUACGGUGGUGACGAUGUGCCAAGGGGUUGGCAGAAUGGAUGUCAGCAUCGCAGGAGGCACAAAGUGAGGCAGCAUCCGCCUUGCAAAGAAAGGCUGCAGGGGCACGCUCGCAGGCCUCACAAACCCACACACGCUUGUGACGAGAAGUCACCAGACUUGCUGCAUGUAUGUGGGCGUCACAGUCUGCACACAAAUAGGCAGAAUCCGCCUGGCAGUAAAUGGUACAGGUAUGCUGCAGACUUAUGGGGCACUGUGGAAUAUGAAGGGGGAAAGGAGGGAAAAUAACAGUAGGCAACUAUCAAGUGGGGAAGAAUCCAAGGGCGACACGUGGAGAGAAGUUAAUGGGUAGGAAAAGUUUUUUCAUCAUCUUGUGGUGGCUGGUGAUUCUGGUGGGGCCAGAUGGUGGUCAGGCCACAAGGUGAUUGAAACAAGUGGGUCCAGGGGCCUUGGGCUUUUGGAAUCAAUUGUGGGAGAGCUUUGUUCAAGGGAUUGCCUUUUAGGUGGAGAUUAUACCGACAAAUUUCCCAUAGUUUAUUAGGUUUUCACUGUUAGGGGUGGUGGGCAUGGUACAGACAUGUACGGCAAGAAAUAGAUACAUAAAGUCCUAAGGAUCUGAAAGGGCCUCACACCCACAACAAACUGAGAAAUUUGUGAGCUUUGUAAAAAGUGCUGAGUUUCAGGCUUUCAGCGAAUGGAAGAGAAGAAAUAGGUACUAAAGUGUCAUGGAUCAAGCGGGACCUCAAACUUGAAAGGCUUAGCCAGGCUCUAAUGACUUCUGUGGAACAACUUCAAUGUUCUUGCUGAGAUAGAAUCUACUCUUUUCACCUUUAUGGUAGGACUCUACAUCCACAAAAGCUAAAAGAAAGAAGCUCUACAUUGUCUUCUAAGUUAUAUGCUUUAAAAUAUUAGCCUUGAUUAGACUCUGUAUGCAUUUUUCGACAGUCAACUGAUACAAUCUAAGAUGAAACAUUUUUGUUGAAAUCUUGCCUAAGCCUA